GACGAACGCUGGCGGCGUGCUUAACACAUGCAAGUCGAACGGUAAGGCCCUUCGGGGUACACGAGUGGCGAACGGGUGAGUAACACGUUGGUGAUCUGCCCUGCACUUCGGGAUAAGCCUGGGAAACUGGGUCUAAUACCGGAUAGGACCACUGCCUGCAUGGGUGGUGGUGGAAAGCUUUUGCGGUGUGGGAUGGGCCCGCGGCCUAUCGGCUUGUUGGUGGGGUGAUGGCCUACCAAGGCGACGACGGGUAGUCGGCCUGAGAGGGUGACCGGCCACACUGGGACUGAGAUACGGCCCAGACUCCUACGGGAGGCAGCAGUGGGGAAUAUUGCACAAUGGGCGCAAGCCUGAUGCAGCGACGCCGCGUGAGGGAUGACGGCCUUCGGGUUGUAAACCUCUUUCAGCACCGACGAAGCGCAAGUGACGGUAGGUGCAGAAGAAGGACCGGCCAACUACGUGCCAGCAGCCGCCGUAA
rnacentral:rRNA from 1 species